GGCUUUAUAGUAUAAAAAUACAUUGGAUUGCAAAUCUAAAAAUGUGGGAACACUGGGGCUU
rnacentral:tRNA from 1 species